UACGAAGGGGGCUAGCGUUGCUCGGAAUUACUGGGCGUAAAGCGCACGUAGGCGGCUUUCUAAGUCGGGGGUGAAAUCCUGGAGCUCAACUCCAGAACUGCCUUCGAUACUGGAAAGCUCGAGUCCGGGAGAGGUGAGUGGAACUGCGAGUGUAGAGGUGAAAUUCGUAGAUAUUCGCAAGAACACCAGUGGCGAAGGCGGCCCCCUGGGCUAACACUGACGCUCAGGCACGAAAGCGUGGGGAGCAAACAGG
rnacentral:rRNA from 1 species